AUGGCGGCGUCGGAGAACGCCCGCCCGGCCUGGCGGCGGCGGAGGGAGUUAAGGUCGCCGCCGGCGCAGCGGUCGAUGGCGAAGCCGACGACGGCUUCGGUGGCCACGACGCCGCGGAGCGACGGCAGGAGCGGGUGGCGGACCGCCAGCAGGACGUCGCGCUCGAACCAGAUCCUCCGGAGGCCGUCGCCGCCAGGUGCUGGCUCGCCCGCGGCGCUCUUUUGGCGCGCGGCAGCGCGGGACAUGGCCUUGAGGGCCAUGGGUUGGUCGGCGGAGCAGCCCCCGCCUGCAGCUGCCGCCACAACGGGCACGACGUGGAAGACCACGCCCCUCGCGCCGUGGCCAAGCACCGACAUGGCCCUGAGGUCUGCCAGGCUGAGCUGCGGCGGCGGCGGCGGCAUGGGCGCCGUGCUCACCAUGUCACGCGGCGGCGUGAAGCAGAGCUGA
rnacentral:rRNA from 1 species